rnacentral:rRNA from 1 species
UACGAAGGGGGCUAGCGUUGCUCGGAAUCACUGGGCGUAAAGGGUGCGUAGGCGGGUCUUUAAGUCAGGGGUGAAAUCCUGGAGCUCAACUCCAGAACUGCCUUUGAUACUGAGGAUCUUGAGUACGGGAGAGGUGAGUGGAACUGCGAGUGUAGAGGUGAAAUUCGUAGAUAUUCGCAAGAACCCCAGUGGCGAAGGCGGCUCACUGGCCCGUUACUGACGCUGAGGCACGAAAGCGUGGGGAGCAAACAGG